CUCCAGACUCCUACGGGAGGCAGCAGUGGGGAAUAUUGCACAAUGGGCGCAAGCCUGAUGCAGCCAUGCCGCGUGUAUGAAGAAGGCCUUCGGGUUGUAAAGUACUUUCAGUCGGGAGGAAGGUGUCAAGGUUAAUAACCUUGGCAAUUGACGUUACCCGCAGAAGAAGCACCGGCUAACUCCGUGCCAGCAGCCGCGGUAAUACGGAGGGUGCAAGCGUUAAUCGGAAUUACUGGGCGUAAAGCGCACGCAGGCGGUCUGUCAAGUCGGAUGUGAAAUCCCCGGGCUCAACCUGGGAACUGCAUCUGAUACUGGCAAGCUUGAGUCUCGUAGAGGGGGGUAGAAUUCCAGGUGUAGCGGUGAAAUGCGUAGAGAUCUGGAGGAAUACCGGUGGCGAAGGCGGCCCCCUGGACGAAGGCUGACGCUCAGGUGCGAAAGCGUGGGGAGCAACCAGGAUUAGAUACCCUCGUA
rnacentral:rRNA from 1 species